AUGGUAUUCACAGAUACGCUAAAGAGCGGCGAUGCGUUAAAGAGCAGCGAUGCGUUAAACAACACUAUCAACAAGGCAGGUCCUACAGGCCCUAGUUUCUACCUUCUUAACAACACUAUCAACAAGGCAGAUCCUACAGGCCCUAGUUUCUACCUUCUUAACAACACUAUCAACAAGGCAGGUCCUACAGGCCCUAGUUUCUACCUUCUUAACAGCACUAUCAACAAGGCAGGUCCUACAGGCCCUAGUUUCUACCUUCUUAACAACACUAUCAACAAGGCAGGUCCUACAGGCCCUAGUUUCUACCUUCUUAACAACACUAUCAACAAGGCAGGUCCUACAGGCCCUAGUUUCUACCUUCUUAACAACACUAUCAACAAGGCAGGUCCUACAGGCCCUAGUUUCUACCUUCUUAACAACACUAUCAACAAGGCAGGUCCUACAGGCCCUAGUUUCUAUCUUCUUAACAACACUAUCAACAAGGCAGGUCCUACAGGCCCUAGUUUCUACCUUCUUAACAACACUAUCAACAAGGCAGGUCCUACAGGCCCUAGUUUCUACCCUCUUAACAACACUAUCAACAAGGCAGGUCCUACAGGCCCUAGUUUCUGCCUUCUUAACAACACUAUCAACAAGGCAGGUCCUACAGGCCCUAGUUUCUACCUUCUUAACAACACUAUCAACAAGGCAGGUCCUACAGGCCCUAGUUUCUACCUUCUUAACAACACUAUCAACAAGGCAGGUCCUACAGGCCCUAGUUUCUAUCUUCUUAACAACACUAUCAACAAGGCAGGUCCUACCGGCCCUAGUUUCUACCUUCUUAACAACACUAUCAACAAGGCAGGUCCUACAGGCCCUAGUUUCUACCUUCUUAACAACACUAUCAACAAGGCAGGUCCUACAGGCCCUAGUUUCUACCUUCUUAACAACACUAUCAACAAGGCAGGUCCUACCGGCCCUAGUUUCUACCUUCUUAACAGCACUAUCAACAAGGCAGGUCCUACAGGCCCUAGACUAUGGGAGGAGCUCAGUACUACAUAG
rnacentral:lncRNA from 8 species